rnacentral:rRNA from 1 species
UACGUAGGGUCCGAGCGUUGUCCGGAAUUACUGGGCGUAAAGAGCUCGUAGGUGGUUUGUCGCGUUGUUCGUGAAAACUCACAGCUCAACUGUGGGCGUGCGGGCGAUACGGGCAGACUAGAGUACUGCAGGGGAGACUGGAAUUCCUGGUGUAGCGGUGAAAUGCGCAGAUAUCAGGAGGAACACCGGUGGCGAAGGCGGUUCUCUGGGCCUUACCUGACGCUGAGGAGCGAAAGCAUGGGGAGCAAACAGG